GACCAAAUCCCAUGAACCAAAACCAAAUCUCAUGGACCAAAUCCCAUGAACCAAAACCAAACCUCAUGGACCAAAUCCCAUGAACCAAAAUGAAACCUCAUGAACCAAUACCCAGAUCUCAUACGCAUAUCUCAUGAACCAAUUAGACUCUAAUACAUAGAGUUUAAUAUCGAUUAGGUCUUAACACAUAUACUUAAGGCCUAAUCAACCUCAAAUCCAACUGAAUCAU
rnacentral:lncRNA from 1 species